UGAUGAACAUUUGCUUCUCCUCUGGGACUCUAGAAUUUUGGUAUGGGCUAGGCAGAGGGUGACCAUAUGACCAGCCUCCAACAUGAAACUCUGGGCAUUGAAUCUCUACUGACCUGCUCGGACAGGGUUUUACUCUAUCACCCAGGCUGGAGUUCAGAGGCACCAUCUCAGCUUACUGCAGCCUUGACCUCUCAGGCUCAACAGAUCCUCCCACUUCAGCCUCCUGAGUAGCUGGGGCUACAGGCGCGCACCACCAUAUCCCGCACUGGGGAAGAAGCAUUUCUAACAGGAGCCUGCAUGCUGAGGAUGGCAGAGGAAAAAGACAGAGCCACUCUGAGCCCUUGGAGAUGCCACUGAGGAGCUACGCUAACCAAUCCUGGAGGCACCAUAACCUAGGACUUCUUAUUAUACAAGAAUGCUAGAGAGCAGUCUUCAGCCUGAGACCCAUCUCUAGCUUCUAACAACUCAGUAUACUCCUAUGAUCAAAAUUUGGAGCAUAUUUGUUUCUCUCUACCUGAUUUCUUCAGACUGUGGAAACUAUUUGAAUCAAACUUGACUUAUGGAUCCAAUAAAGCCCUUGGAAAAACUGGCCUCAUAUUUUGUGUACACAGUCCCUGUACAGGGUUUCUGACUUGUGUACGCAGCGCACUGUCCAGUGAUCCUCAAGAGGAGGGGUUUUAUUUUCUAAAAAGGCAUCUACGGAUGAAGAAGAGCACUGACCGUGGUGGGAGAUGACCUGGGUGGAGUACAGACACUGCCUCUUCAUUGCUACAUUGCUAGGUGACCUUGAACAUUUAAUCCCUUUGAGCCCAGGUUUUCUCAUUUUAAAUUAGGGCAACGGUCAUAAUAAUACCUUUCUUUCAAUGCUGUUAAAAAAUUAAGUAAAGCCCAUUAAAAUUGCAAGUACAGUUUUUCUAAAUUUCCCAUACAACUUAAUUAUCUUACUACUGAAGGCUGCACAUAUAAAAUGGGAAGUGAAAAGUUAACUGUCCUCCCAGAUAUUUUGGUAAGAAUACUAAGGUGAUGAUGAUACCAACAUAAAUAAGUAAUUUACAAGAAUAGUUCUAUAGAUUUCCGGUGUUUAAAGUUAUCUCAAAUAGGAUUUCAAAAACAUUAGCAAAUCUUGAUGUAGUCUGUAUUAUGGACUUGACACUUUUCUGAGCAUUUCAGAUAUAUUAUUUCAUUUAAUUCCAUGCUAAGCAGUAUAAUCUUAGAGAAAAUUUAGCUUUGACUUGAAAUUUGACAAAAUCAUUUAUAUGUCUGCCAUGGACUGAAUUUUUUCCACCCAAAAUUCACAUGCUAAAGUCCUAGCCCACGAUAUGAUGGUUUUUGGAAGUGGAGUCUCUGGGAGGUAAUUAGUGUUACAUGAAGUCCUGAGAGUGGGGCCUUCAUGAUGGGAUUCGUGCCCUUAUGAGAAGAGACACCAGUGUUUGCUCUCUCUUGUGCUGUCUCUCUCCCUGCGAUGUGAGGUUGCAGCAUGUUGGUGCUGUCUACAAGCCAGGAAGACACCCUCACCAGAAACCAACCAUGCUGACACUUUGAUCCUGGACUUCCAGCUUCCAACACUGGUUGGUUCUGUCUGCACUGGCCCUGGGCAACAUCUGUUGAUAGAACUUUGCUUCAUUAUAAUUGAAAAAGCAAGCAAACAUGUAUCAACAUCUGUAAACGUUUUCAUUCAGUCCACCAUGGAACUAAAAUACAUCCUAUGUUUACCAUGCCUUUAUCCUCUUUUCCACCCACCUUCAACCAACACAGUUAUUUCUAGAAAGAAUUUGGGCAAGCUUCUGCCUUUGUUCAAAUAUGCAUGUGGCCAAGAGGUAUUUUUCCUCCAUUUUUUUUGAAAGAAACCUAAUGAGUUUUUUUCUCAUCCUCUCUAUUAAAUUAUCAAUUCCUUGAAAACAGUAUCAUUCUUGUUAUUGAGUGAUAUGCAAAUUAUAGUGUAUUUGUAUAUCUUGGACACUCAACACAUGUCUGUUAAAUUGUGUCAAAUUUUUUAAAAGGGGACCUCAGAUCAGUUUUGGCUUAGAAGAAUGGUGGAGUUGGGAGGGGGGUGAGCCCAAACCCGAGGCCUUGAGAACAAAAUGCAGGGAAAACCAAAGCGCAAACAACAAGGCCAAGUCCCAGGGCAAGAGAAGCAGCCUGAAAUAAGGAGUCAUUUGAAAUUGGAGGG